rnacentral:lncRNA from 1 species
UUGAGAGUAGUAAAGAGGUUCAGUCUCCAGAGGAGAAGAAGAAGACCCAGAGAAACCAGGAAGGUGGCAAACAUAAUACUUAAGGUAAGAAGGAGGAUUGUGCUGUCUUCCAGAUUUCCUAGGAACAGCAGUUGAUGUGGAAGAAGGUAAAGCAGGAGGUGAGAUGUCAGGGUUGAAAGGGGGACUGGAAAUUCGAUAUGAAGAAGGAGAAUCUGAAACAGAAGGUGAAGGUGGAGAGGAAGAGAUGGGAAUAGAGAAAUCUGGCUCAGAAAGGGAAU